CUUCAUUUCUAUACCACAGAUAGCUAUGUGUACUUGUACAAAUUAUUUCACUUCCUAGAGCCCAAGUUUCCUCAUGUGUAAAAUGGGGAUGAUGAUAAGGAUGUCUACUUGUUAGCAUUGUUAUAAGAAUUACAUUAGAUAACAUACAAAUGCACUAACCGUGGUACCUGGUCUGUAGUGAUCACCAUAUAUAUUAUGUAUGAAUUACUCUUAUUAUCAUUUUUGUUGUUAUUGCUUGGCGAAUCAAGUGCCUAUUCAGUGUCUUUGGUGCUGAGUUUUUUUUCAGUAUUUUUGCAUCUUGCAAAAAUGCAAUAUUAUAACGUUUUUGUUUACAGACGGGGCCAUUCUGUCAAUGGAAGUAAAAUAAAUCAUUUGGCUCUGAUCAUGAGCUUUUCUCCUUCUAAAUUAAGAAAUCAUACCAAAGAGCAUAGCAAAGAGCAAAGCAAAGGCAUUGCUAUAUCUGAUGAAACUGGUCUGCCAAUAUGUGUUUCUCAUCGUUUCCUAACUGAAGCUCCAGAUUUAAUGAAACUGGAAAGAGGUACGUGCCUCAAAUGGAAAUUUUUCAAGUUCCGUUAUGGAGAGUGGCAUUGA
ensembl:lncRNA